CUGGGGUAGAGCAGACUGUGGCUUCACCUCGGUGUCCUACCAGCAAGGGGUCCUGUCUGCCACCAUCCUCUAUGAGAUCCUGCUGGGGAAGGCCACCCUGUAUGCUGUGCUGGUCAGUGCCCUCGUGCUGAUGGCCAUGGUCAAGAGGAAGGAUUUCUGAAGGCAGCCCUGGAAGUGGAAUUAGGAGCUUCUAAUCCAUCGUGAUUUCAAUAUACAUUCUUCUUUUGCCAGUGCUUCUGAAGAGCUGCUCUCACCUCUCUACAUCCCAAUAGAUAUCCCCUAUGUGCACGCACGCCUGCACACUCACGGCUGAAAUCUCCCUAACCCAGGGGCACCUUAGCAUUCCUAAGUGACUAAGCCAAUAAAAAUGUUCUGAUCUGGCCUGA